AAAUAUAAUUUACAUCAAUCAAAUUGUUCAAUAGAAUGGAAUUAUAAAUCACAAAAAUUUAAUAUAAAAUCAUAAAAUUUAUUGAUUUUGAGAUAUUUCAUUUUAUAUAACAUUCAUAUCAAAAUUACAAAAUUAUACAAAUUGACUUCAUCAAAUUUUCCAUUUUCCAUUAGUUAGACACGGAAAAAUGCAUGUCAUAUUUAAAAAAAAAAAAAAUCAUUUCCAAAAUUGCUAUUAUUCCAUACAUUUCCAUGCACCUACUGUUUCUUAAGUUGAUUUCACAGCAAAUAAUUUUAUAUAAAUAUUAAGGAAGUAUAAAAACA
rnacentral:lncRNA from 1 species